UUUCUGAGAUGAGCUUUGCAAAUUGCUUGCAUAAAGGCAACCAAGUGACUAUACUCUAAAAGCCUUCCUUAAGUAUUUCACACACAUUACUGCACUUCUAAAAGAGACAGCACAGAAAAAGAAUUUGAACAAAGGCUACUCUGAGUUCAGCCUUUCGGCUUCUAUGUUAUGAAUAUUGAUAAGGUGCCAUUCUCAACAGCAGGAAGUCUGAUGUUCAGCCAGGACAGCAGAGAAUCACAUUAUUCUUUAGCUGGUUGGAUAAAGAAUACACUGCUGCGUGAUAGGAUGUGCCAUAUUAGCCUGUGACAAUCAGAAGACAUUGUUUGCUUUCCUAGGAUGCUACCAUGAUUACUGGAGGUGGUAUCUUUCAAUGACUUCCAUUAUCAUCUAAUUGAGUGCUUUUACUAUUGCUUGCCCACAUCAGUGGUGAAAAGAACAAUUUUCAUCAGUGUCUCUAAGCAACUUUCGAACCAAGACUUUCAUUACUGGAAUUUCAACAGUAGAGACGUACAAUCCUGAAGAAAUACUAUACUAGUAUACUAUACUAGUAUUGAAGGAGUGACUGGAAAUCAGUAUUUUGUACCCUUGAAAAUAGUGUAAAUUCUACAGCUAUUUUUACAAAUAUUUUUCAAAUGAGGAUAAGAGCUCUCAUGGCUAUAGGAAGCAUUAUUUACAAGUGUUUACUGUUCGGGCCCAAUUCAUCAUUAGUUGCAACUCCAUUUAAAUCAACAGUGUUAGAUUGCGUGAAUCUGAGUCCUUCUUUUUAGCCAUUCAUGGCUAUCUCAUACAAAGUUGCACUAUUUUUAUGUGUGGGCUGGUAGUGUUUGUGGCAGGCAAAGGUAGGAAAACAUGCAAUGGUAACAGCAAAGAAAAUAGUAACAACAGUGUGUCUUGCUUCAAAAUCAUCACUUUUUAUAACCGGUAAUGUUCACCUUUUCUCACUAUCUAAAGACCAUGUUGAAUGACUAUUUUAAAACUAAAUUUUAGUACAGUGAACAAGCCAGAUUCUAUUGCUAAUUAGACCAAUGCAAAUCAGGUAUCAUUCCACUGUAGUAACCAGCAUAACACCAGAAUUAGUAAAGAAUCGGAGCUAAGCUCCCUACCUCUGUUUGCACAUUUGAGACAUUUGUUGCAAAUUGCAUCACACAUGUUGAA